UACAGUCCGGGACAUUUCUAUUUGGACAUAAAAAAUUUGAAUUUUCUGACAUUUAUACGUAUAUUCAGCGUCUAUGUGAACAAAAAAUGUUCUCUCUCUCAUUCUAUGGUCCUUGAGCUUUAAUAACAGGGACAUUUUUGAAAUUGGUAGGAUUAGAAAAUGACAGUAAACAGCUGACUGAUGUAAACAAUAACAAAGGAAAUGUUAUAAUUUUAAUCUAUAUAACCCGUGGCUGCUUUAAAAGUGUGUACUAACGGGAUAAUAAAAUAUUUACGCAAGUAUUUUUGAAGGUAGAAACAUUACUUGUCAUAUAACAAUUAUAGAUUAUAUGAUGAGACGGGAAUGGCACAACACAGAAUUGCAGUCAGUGAUUGUGCUGGAGAAAGCUGCUGUGACGUACUGACAGUACUGACUAUCGCUGGUUGUACGAUUUGUGCACUUUGUGAUAUAUUUUGUGUGAAAAACUGGAAAACAAAGUGCAUACCUGCAUAACCUCACUUAUCGCAGUUUUGCACAUUUUGAUGAUGGGAAUUGCGGUUCAAGUAAUUAUGAGUUAUAGAUGGAGCUCACUGUUUACUUCAAACUGAAGCCUUUUGGGUCCACUUUUUUCGUUGUUAUUUCCUGGUAGCGACUAUUGUUUCAAGCAGAAUGGGUGUAAAGUUAAAAAUAAUCCCAUAAAAUUGUUAAUAUAACUCCGUUGCACUGGCAUGGGGUAUUUGAAAACUUACGUUUAACAAAUACGUCACAAAGUCUCAUCCAUCGUUGAAAAACAUAAUAAGGGCUUUAUAACAACAAGCGCUUUCUGAUUUUACUGUGGACGUGUGGAAGAAUAGUGUGAAAUAUUGCGAAAAACCAACUUUUACUCUUGUUUACAUUUUUGUACGUCUCUAUCUGAGAGUAGUCGUCUUUUAUAAAAAAUAUAGCCUACUAAUAAAGGAAAUUAGAGUGUUUU